rnacentral:rRNA from 1 species
UAGCAUAUCAAUAAGCGGAGGAAAAGAAACCAACAGGGAUUGCCCUAGUAACGGCGAGUGAAGCGGCAACAGCUCAAAUUUGAAAUCUGGCCUCGGCCCGAGUUGUAAUUUGCAGAGGAUGCUUCUGGCGCGGUGCCUUCCGAGUUCCCUGGAACGGGACGCCACAGAGGGUGAGAGCCCCGUAUGGUCGGACACCAAGCCUGUGUGAAGCUCCUUCGACGAGUCGAGUAGUUUGGGAAUGCUGCUCUAAAUGGGAGGUAAAUCUCUUCUAAAGCUAAAUACCGGCCAGAGACCGAUAGCGCACAAGUAGAGUGAUCGAAAGAUGAAAAGCACCUUGAAAAGGGGGUUAAAUAGUACGUGAAAUUGUUGAAAGGGAAGCACUUAUGACCAGACUUGGGCCGGGCGGCUCAUCAGGGGUUCUCCCCUGUGCACUCCGCCCGGCACAGGCCAGCAUCGGUUCUCGUGGGGGGAUAAGACCGUCAGGAACGUAGCACUCUCCGGAGUGUGUUAUAGCCUGGCGGACGAUACCCCCGUGGGGACCGAGGUCCGCGCAUUGCAAGGAUGCUGGCGUAAUGGUCAUCAGUGACCCGUCUUGAAACACGGACCAAGGAGUCGUCCAUUAGAGCGAGCGUUUGGGUGUAAAACCCGCACGCGUAAUGAAAGUGAACGCAGGUGAGAGCUUCGGCGCAUCAUCGACCGAUCCUGAUGUUCUCGGAAGGAUUUGAGUAAGAGUUUUAACGGACGGACCCGAAAGACAGUGAACUAUGCUUGAAUAGGGUGAAGCCAGAGGAAACUCUGGUGGAGGCUCGCAGCGGUUCUGACGUGCAAAUCGAUCGUCAAAUUUGAGCAUGGGGGCGAAAGACUAAUCGAACU